CUACUACUACUGCUACUACUACAACUACUACUACUACUGCUACUACUACAACUACUGCUACUACUGCAACUGCUGUAGUAGCAGAACAGCAGACUCCAAGACCUGGCUUGAUUGCUGUAAUUUUAUCUGUCGUAAUGGUGGUGGCUGCUAUAAUUGUUGUAAUACUUUUUCGACGGAAACUCCUCAAGAGGGAAGGGUGUUGUGUUUCAGAGGAAGAAGCAGAGCACAAUGAAGAUGUUCAAAACACAGAG